ensembl:miRNA
CAAGGUCAGGGUUGGUAGGGGUUGCUGUUGCUGUGAAAGCUGAGCCUCUCCUUUCCGCCAG